CGCCUUUAGAAUUUAUUUUAGGUUGGUUCUGCUCAAUGAUUAUUUAAAUGGCCGCGGUAAAUUGACUGUGCAAAGGUAGCAUAAUAAGUAGUUUAUUAAUUGUAAACUGGAAUGAAUGAAUUGACGAGAAAUUGACUGUCUCUAUUUUAAAAAAUUGAAUUUGACUUUUAAGUUAAAAGGCUUAAUUGAUUGUAAGGGACGAGAAGACCCUAUAGAACUUUAUUUGAAUUGUUUUUUCUGUUAUUAUUUUAUAAAUUGUGAAUUCAAUUGUUAUUUAGUUGGGGUGAUUUGAAGAUGAGAAUAACUUUUUAUUUUUUAACAUUAAUUUAUGGUUUUUUGAUAUAAUAUAUUAAUAUAAGAUUAAGUUACCUUAGGGAUAACAGCAUAAUUUAUUUGGAGAGUUCGAAUCUAUAAAUGAGUUUGUGACCUCGAUGUUGAAUUAAGAUUAAUUUUGGGUGUAGAAGUUUUUUAAUUGGGUCUGUUCGACCUUUAAAGUCUUACA
rnacentral:rRNA from 1 species